rnacentral:lncRNA from 1 species
AAUAAACCAAAUGACAUGACUGAAAUAAAAUGAAAUAAGUGUAUAUUUAUAUUAUAAGUGGGAAACAUAUUGACGCUCUAUGUUCUCUGUUUCUUGCAGCCUGAUUUUGACUCUGACUUUGACAUUCUGGACUGACGGCACCGGGCGGGCGGGUGCUCUACAUACAGACCAGAAAUAAGAGAAUGUGUUUGAAGUUUUUUUUUUCUGGAGAAGCAGCAGCAUCCUCAUCGGUGUCGCGGGCUGCACCACCUUUGCUCCUUGUGCGACGGUGAAACAGAGCUCCAUUUUGGGGAUUAGGGUCGACUGGUGGUUCAUUGGGUGGCUCUGGACCUUGAGCCAGAUCUGGAGCUGCAUGAUAAAGACAGAAGGACGAUCAGCAGGAUGGUGGAGGACAUGACUGGACUGAAAAACAAAGAUAAGCUGUGUUGUCAUGAUCAGAGAGUCACAGCAGGGUGAGCGGGUGUGACUGUGUUCUUUUUAAAACGUGAAAUGCAAAUAUAGAAAAACAUAAUGAGGAAGUAUUAGAUAAUAUUACAAAAGUCUCGAUCGUAUCAUCAGUUUCCUGUUUCCCUCCAUCCCAAUAAAUGUGACUGUUUGUAAAUUAAAGAGCACCUACCAGAUCAAAUCGUCUCACAGCUCAGCUGUUCCUCCACUGCACACCUUCACCUGUGACGCUGUGAACAGAAAGCCGGCAGCUCAAAUAUGCAAGUGUGCCGUCUGAAGGAGGAGCCACUCCUUCAUUAUCUGCAGCGACUGUAAACAGGCAGGACUGGACUUUGUGUUUACUGGAAGUCAGUAACAGUCAUGUCAAUUUAAACAGUUUACAAUAAAGGAGUCGACAUUAGUUCCCCCAUAAAAAUCACU